GAUGAACGCUGGCGGCGUGCCUAAUACAUGCAAGUCGAGCGAACAGACGAGGAGCUUGCUCCUCUGACGUUAGCGGCGGAUGGGUGAGUAACACGUGGAUAACCUAUCUAUAAGACUGGGAUAACUUCGGGAAACCGGAGCUAAUACCGGAUAAUAUAUUGAACCGCAUGGUUCAAUAGUGAAAGACGGUUUUGCUGUCACUUAUAGAUGGAUCCGCGCCGCAUUAGCUAGUUGGUAAGGUAACGGCUUACCAAGGCGACGAUGCGUAGCCGACCUGAGAGGGUGAUCGGCCACACUGGAACUGAGACACGGUCCAGACUCCUACGGGAGGCAGCAGUAGGGAAUCUUCCACAAUGGGCGAAAGCCUGACGGAGCAACGCCGCGUGAGUGAUGAAGGUCUUCGGAUCGUAAAACUCUGUUAUUAGGGAAGAACAAAUGUGUAAGUAACUAUGCACGUCUUGACGGUACCUAAUCAGAAAGCCACGGCUAACUACGUG
rnacentral:rRNA from 1 species